rnacentral:lncRNA from 10 species
GGGCCGCACAGGAGCCCAUGGAGUGGGUGGGAGGCUCAGGCAUGGCGGGCUGCAGGUCCGGAGCCCUGCCCUGCGGGAACGCAGCUAAGGCUCGGUGAGAAAUAGAGCGCAGCGCCGGUGGGCUGGCACUGCUGGGGGACCCAGUACACUCUCCGCAGCCACUGGCCCGGGUGCUAAGUCCCUCAUUGCCCAGGGCCAACAGGGCUGGCCGGCUGCUCCGAGUGCUGGGCCGCCAAGCCCACGCCCGCCCACCCGGAACUCCAGCUGGCCCGCAAGCGCCGCACGCAGCCGCGGUUCCCGCUGGCGCCUCUCCCUCCACACCUCCCUGCAAGCUGAGGGAGCCGGCUCUGGCCUUGGCCAGCCUAGAAAGGGGCUCCCACAGUGCAGUGGUGGGCUGAAGGGCUCCUCAAAUGCCGCCAAAGUGGGAGCCCAGGCAGAGGAGGUGCCAAGAGCAAGCGAGGGCUCUGAGGACUGCCAGCACGCUGUCACCUGUCAUUAUCAACAACUUGACUAAAAUACCUCUGUGUUUGAAGAGGAAGCCAGAGAAAUUAGAAACAAGAGAAACAUUUGAUGCAUUAUUGCUGACUUGAAGAUGGAGAGAGGUUCCCCUGAGCAUACAGGAGUACUCCAUGAAGACUGCAAUGGCUUCCCUCUCACAAACUGCAUGCACGUCCAGCAGCUCCUGGAGUGUGUCUGUGGGGAAUCUCACUUGCUGGGCCAUCUGCUGGCUGUAGUGGUUGGCUGCCCUCUGCACGGCUGCUGAGUUCUCACACUGGGCCAGAACUGCCAUUGCAUUCUCCAGACAAGGAGUCGCUCCACUGUUGAUGGCAUCCAGAGACCAUCAAGCUUCAGAAGAUCAUGUGACAAAUGUUCCAGCCAGUUCCAGUUGAAGACACCACCCCUGGCCAUCAAGAAGCUACUCUGCCUCCACUAGACAGAGCAGGGUGACAGUUCCGUGAUCCCCAAUAGGUAGGGACUUUGCUUCAAGCCAGCAUGAGGCAGUUACAGAAGAAAGACCAUUAGUCACUCCACCUCCCAUAAAGAUUUAUGGGGAUGACAUCUCUCAGGGAGGAAAUGAGGCAGGAAAAUAGGAUCUGGAGGCAUAGAACAUAAGGCCUAUUCACACUUCAGCUAUGCCGGGAAAUAUUAUCUCCAUUUACAUAGGGCAUACACAAAGUAACCAAUGGAAACCUCUAGAGGGUAUUUAAAUCCCCCAAAAUUCUGUAACAGGACCCUUGAGCCCCUAUGCUUGGGCCCACUCCCACACUGUGGAGUGUACUUCCAUUUUCAAUAAAUAUCUGCUUUUGUUGCUUCAUU